rnacentral:rRNA from 1 species
CAGGCUUAACACAUGCAAGUCGAGGGGCAGCAUGGUCUUAGCUUGCUAAGGCCGAUGGCGACCGGCGCACGGGUGAGUAACACGUAUCCAACCUGCCGUCUACUCUUGGACAGCCUUCUGAAAGGAAGAUUAAUACAAGAUGGCAUCAUGAGUCCGCAUGUUCACAUGAUUAAAGGUAUUCCGGUAGACGAUGGGGAUGCGUUCCAUUAGAUAGUAGGCGGGGUAACGGCCCACCUAGUCUUCGAUGGAUAGGGGUUCUGAGAGGAAGGUCCCCCACAUUGGAACUGAGACACGGUCCAAACUCCUACGGGAGGCAGCAGUGAGGAAUAUUGGUCAAUGGGCGAGAGCCUGAACCAGCCAAGUAGCGUGAAGGAUGACUGCCCUAUGGGUUGUAAACUUCUUUUAUAAAGGAAUAAAGUCGGGUAUGGAUACCCGUUUGCAUGUACUUUAUGAAUAAGGAUCGGCUAACUCCGUGCCAGCAGCCGCGGUAAUACGGAGGAUCCGAGCGUUAUCCGGAUUUAUUGGGUUUAAAGGGAGCGUAGAUGGAUGUUUAAGUCAGUUGUGAAAGUUUGCGGCUCAACCGUAAAAUUGCAGUUGAUACUGGAUAUCUUGAGUGCAGUUGAGGCAGGCGGAAUUCGUGGUGUAGCGGUGAAAUGCUUAGAUAUCACGAAGAACUCCGAUUGCGAAGGCAGCCUGCUAAGCUGCAACUGACAUUGAGGCUCGAAAGUGUGGGUAUCAAACAGGAUUAGAUACCCUGGUAGUCCACACGGUAAACGAUGAAUACUCGCUGUUUGCGAUAUACAGCAAGCGGCCAAGCGAAAGCGUUAAGUAUUCCACCUGGGGAGUACGCCGGCAACGGUGAAACUCAAAGGAAUUGACGGGGGCCCGCACAAGCGGAGGAACAUGUGGUUUAAUUCGAUGAUACGCGAGGAACCUUACCCGGGCUUAAAUUGCAGAUGAAUUACGGUGAAAGCCGUAAGCCGCAAGGCAUCUGUGAAGGUGCUGCACGGUUGUCGUCAGCUCGUGCCGUGAGGUGUCGGCUUAAGUGCCAUAACGAGCGCAACCCUUGUUGUCAGUUACUAACAGGUUCCGCUGAGGACUCUGACAAGACUGCCAUCGUAAGAUGUGAGGAAGGUGGGGAUGACGUCAAAUCAGCACGGCCCUUACGUCCGGGGCUACACACGUGUUACAAUGGGGGGUACAGAGGGCCGCUACCACGCGAGUGGAUGCCAAUCCCCAAAACCUCUCUCAGUUCGGACUGGAGUCUGCAACCCGACUCCACGAAGCUGGAUUCGCUAGUAAUCGCGCAUCAGCCACGGCGCGGUGAAUACGUUCCCGGGCCUUGUACACACCGCCCGUCAAGCCAUGGGAGCCGGGGGUACCUGAAGUGCGUAACCGCGAGGAGCGCCCUAGGGUAAAACUGGUGACUGGGGC